AAAAUCUGGUGUGAAUUUUUUUUCUGACCGUUGGACCUCUGCUGGACUAACCGUCCAUUUCAAAUUAUGCUAUCAAUCCUGGCCGUCCAUUUCAUACCCGUUGAAGCGCUCAACGGUCGACUGGGAGACCGUCCCAUGUGCAUGGGUCCCAGCCUCUGCAAACAGCAGCGCGACUGGAGCUGGAGAGCGCGUUACGCGCGUCUUCGUCUCGUGCGGAAGCGGGAGAGCGCGUUUCGUGCCGACCUUGUGCCGAGCGCGUCUCUUCUUCUUCUUCUCUGGCCCAGCCCAAACGCAAGUGGACCCGAGUCUUGGUCCUGGAAUUGUCUCAGAUUUGAGACUGAGAAUAGGACCGGGUCCUAUAUUUCCAAAACCAAACCCUAGGUUUUUGGCCCGUUGGAGAUGAAAUGUAUGGAUAUAGGACUGGAACUGGGUUUUAGAACCCUUGUUGGAGUUGCCCUAAAAACAGUUUUAUCAAUAUUUUGGUUUUCAAAUUUAACUCAUAUCCUUAAAGUCUCAUUUCUCGACACUGUUGUCCAUUUCAUUAGUUGAAUGAGAGAGGAAUAGUUUUCUUUCUUCAAUAUAUUUAUAGUUUAAAGUUUCAACUCAAGAGGGAUAUUGAGUUUAGCUGAUACCAAAUUUCAAGUCAAUCUCAUAUUUAUUUCUCGUUCUUGACUACACAACACUUCAAUGUUCUCUGAUAUGUAAACAUUUUAGCCAAAUUUUUUUUUUUUCUCCCCCGAGUAGACAACAUUUUUGUGUUGUCUGAAUUGCACAACUCGUUUAACUUAGCUAGAGUUAUGGUUAACCAAUUGGGAGGGAAAUGAUGGAGCCAAGACAAAAGUUUGGUCAACUUCGAUCACACAACAGUUAACUGUUGACCAAUUAAAGCUCAGAUUUAGUCUCUAGACUAGAUGAUGCCCGCGCGUUGCCGCGGUUUGCAAUGACGGAUAUUCUCUACCGUAAAUGCUUUUGUUUGGAUCAAUUUUGCUGUUGAAUGUCUACAAUGAUGCUUUUUGCAUGUAAACAUAGGUAUAGUGUUCUUCUAGCAAUACUAUUAAAGUUUCAAUUUAAGAAAAUGGUGAAUGAGUUUAUUUACCACAUGACACCAAUAAUAAUUCAUUUAUUAUGGAAAGAUUAAGCAAAACUGAAAUGCAUGAGAAACUGAACAUAGAUAUAGUAAUGUUACUAAUAUACAUAAUGUAUUAAACAAAAGCAGUAGUACAAUACAUGUCCCUCCAUCAACAACUUUGUAUCCCAUGUAUCAGAAUAAUUGAGGGUAACAAAAAUAGGUUACAUGUAUUAUCAGUUUUCUAAACAAAAUGCUUCCUAUUGCCAGACAAUGCUAUACUG
rnacentral:lncRNA from 1 species